AUACAUUAUAUUAAUUUUAUUUUUCAAUGAAACACAACACUAAAAUGAUAAUUUUAAUUUUCACUACAUAUUUUAUUUAAUAAUACUUUACUAAACAUAACUUAAAAUAAUUUGAAUUAAAUUCUAUAAACUGAUAAUGAAUCUAUGAAUUCAAUGUAAACAUUUAAAUUUAUUUUUAACAUGCAAAAUAGGGUUAAAAAAACUUAUGCAAAAUGGUAAUGCAACAGUGUCAAAAAAAAAAAGAAGCUAUAAUAGCUGAUUUUAUAAGCAGAAUGAAGGAAGAAUGAGCUCAGCCAGCAUGAAAGAAGGAAAACAAAGAGCAUGAAGGAAAACAAAGAAUAGAAGCGUAAAUCUGAAAUAGUGAAUAGAGAAAAGAAAACCUAAGUGGGUGGGAGAUAGAGGAUAAAGAAGGAAAGAAAAAAAAAAAUCAUAAAUACCUGUAAUUGGACUGAAGAUGACGAGUAGUGGAGGUGGAGGCAUGGAGUACUGCACAGCAUCCCAGGCUUCUUCUUCUUCUAGCUCUCUAGGUCCUGUGACUUUAUUUUCUUCUUCUUCUGGCACUCUGGGUCCCUGUGACUUUC
rnacentral:misc_RNA from 1 species